AGCGAACGCUGGCGGCAGGCUUAACACAUGCCAGUCGAGCGGGCACUUUCGGGUGUCAGCGGCGGACGGGUGAGUAACGCGUGGGAACGUGCCCUCUGGUUCGGAAUAACUCAGGGAAACUUGAGCUAAUACCGGAUACGCCCUUUUGGGGAAAGGCUUGCUGCCGGAGGAUCGGCCCGCGUCUGAUUAUCUAGUUGGUGAGGUAACGGCUCACCAAGGCGACGAUCAGUAGCUGGUCUGAGAGGAUGAUCAGCCACACUGGGACUGAGACACGGCCCAGACUCCUCCGGGAGGCAGAAGUGGGGACUAUUGGACAAUGGGCGCAAGCCUGAUCCAGCCAUGCCGUGUGAGUGAUGAAGGCCUUAGGGUUGUAAAGCUCUUUUAUCCGGGACGAUAAUGACGGUACCGGAGGAAUAAGCCCCGGCUAACUUCGUG
rnacentral:rRNA from 1 species